UGGGGAAUUUUGGACAAUGGGGGCAACCCUGAUCCAGCAAUGCCGCGUGUGUGAAGAAGGCCUGCGGGUUGUAAAGCACUUUAGGCGGGGAGAAAGGAGAGUGAUUGAAUAAAUCACUGACUUGAUGUUACCCGCAGAAUAAGCACCGGCUAACUCUGUGCCAGCAGCCGCGGUAAUACAGAGGGUGCAAGCGUUAAUCGGAAUGAUUGGGCGUAAAGCGCAUGUAGGUGGUUUGUUAAGUUUGAUGUGAAAGCCCUGGGCUUAACCUGGGAAUGGCGUUGAAGACUGGCAGACUGGAGUCGGAGAGAGGGUCGUGGAAUUUCCGGUGUAGCGGUGAAAUGCGUAGAGAUCGGAAAGAAUAUCGAUGGCGAAGGCAGCGACCUGGUUCCAGACUGACACUGAGGUGCGAAAGCAUGGGGAGCAAACAG
rnacentral:rRNA from 1 species